GAGGAAUAUUCCACAAUGGGCGAAAGCCUGAUGGAGCGACGCCGCGUGAGGGAAGACGCUUUUCGGAGUGUAAACCUCUUUUUGGGGGGAUGAAACGCACGGGUAACCGUGCUAAGACAGUACCCCCAGAAUAAGCAUCGGCUAACUACGUGCCAGCAGCCGCGGUAAUACGUAGGAUGCAAGCGUUGUCCGGAUUUACUGGGCGUAAAGCGCGCGCAGGCGGCAUACCAAGUAUUCAGUGAAAUCUCCCUGCUCAACGGGGAGGGUGCUGAGUAGACUGGUAAGCUAGAGGACGGUAGAGGGGGUAGAAUUGCUGGUGUAGCGGUGAAAUGCGUAGAGAUCAGCAGGAAUACCCGUGGCGAAGGCGGCCCCCUGGGCCGUUUCUGGCGCUGAGGCGCGAAGGCUAGGGGAGCGAA
rnacentral:rRNA from 1 species